rnacentral:lncRNA from 1 species
AAGUGAGACCCUGUCUUUAUUUAAAAUUAAGGAAAAAUAAAGAUACGAUACUGUAUGCAGAUUUAAAUCAUUUUGAGCAAGUCGUAUUUUCUUGCCACCUUGGAAGAGUCAAUUAACAUUUAUUGCUGGCCACAUGGCAGACAAUAUGCUCAAUGCUUCAUGGGCAUUAUCUCAUUUCUGUUUUAAAUUACAAAAUGAAGUCUAUGGAUGUUGAAAAUUUUGAAAGAUAUAGAAAAACACAGGAUAAAAAUUGAGAGGCUCUCGUCUCUUCUGCCUUCCCUUACCUUCUCUCUCACUGCUCUCUUUCCCUACAGCUUACCCUAGUGGUACAUGUAUGGUUGUGUGCCGGAUAUGUAUGUGUGUGUUUGUGGGUAGCUGUGUGUACAUACACACAUAACCAUACAAACAAGACCAUAGCUAUUUAUUGUAUUAAGACUUUUCCCCCCUUUUUAAUAGUGUAAUUUGGAUAUUUUCCUGCCUUCUACCAAAUACAUAAAUAUCAUGUUUCUUAAUACUCUUAAUAGUCUAUUCCAUAGUUUAGACUGUAUUUAACAACUCCCUUAUCAUUAGAUAUUUAGGCUUGUCCAGCUUUUUGCUAUCACAAACAGGGAUCUUGGUGUAUAUGUGAAUGUUGGCAGCAGGUUAGCAGAGCACCAGAAGUGGGACUACUGGUCAAACCUUUGCACAAAAAUCAUACAGCCUCUAAUAGCAUUUCCCAGAGAAGAAAAGGGCCUUGUCUGGAACACAGAUCAAGAACUCUUAACUUUUUCUGAUCCAUGCUUUACAUUGCCACUUGAUAAAUACUACAUGUCAUCUCUAAGUACCACUAAAUCUCCCAUCUGGAGAGAUGGGACACUCUCCUUUAUACCUUUGAUGACUUUACUACCCAUGAUAAAAGCAGGAGAUCCCACCUUCCAGCUGCCCCUUCUUAAACAUCUAACUCUGUGCAAGUCCCAACCCUCAUUUAAUCACUUUGCUACUUCAUUGCAUUCAUCACACCAACUUGCAGUUAUUUGUACAGUUGUUCAUCUUCCAUUAGACUGAGCCCUCUGAGGGCAGGAAAUAUUUUUCAUUCUUCUUGGAACUUCCUUUUCCUAACAUAGUGUCUGAGAUGCUCAAUAAACUUUUUUUUGAGUGAAUAAAAAAUAAAUGAGGGAGUAGAAUACCUAGAUGAAUUCAGUUAUAAAAUGGCUCCAGGUACUGAAAUUGUCCAUUUUCAUUUUUAUGUUUUUGCAAUAAGAAAGAUGAACAUGCAUCUCCCCUAGUGCUACUUUUUUCAAAACUAAAUAUUCUAAUUCCAAGGCUUUAUUUCCGUCAAAUAACUACCACUUCCAAAUUCUUCUGUUAUUUUUAUUGUUCUCCAGGAUCUCUCCAUCUCAAUCAUGUCAUACAUUGGAAACAAUUCUCUGACACUUCAUCUAUAUACAAUCAACACUUUGUUAGGCUCUUGUAGCUGCCUCAUUUUUUGUAACACAAUAGAAUACUUGCCUUAAUAAUAAAUUAUAUUUGCCUUACAGUAUGGCUUAUUAGAUACCCAAAAUGUUUUCUGCCAUGCUUUCGAAAUGUUUUGACUGCAUGACAUUCUAUGGUGUUAAAAUUCCCCAAAAUGAAUGAUUUAUACUGCAUUUGCCUUAAUUGGAAUCUAUCCUGUUUUCAUCUUUCCUACUUUGACAGUCAUCUCAAUGUAAAUCCUGUGUCAGAGGUGCUUAUCUGUCUCUUUGCUACUUUUCUUUGAAAACUAAACAUAAACACAAGAAAUUUCACAUAGUAAAACUAGUAAGAUCUGGGUUUAUAAAUAUAAAUGGUGCAUCUGUGGCGGCAGAGCUCUGUCUCCAACUUCUUGGAGAUAAACAAGUUCAUAGUUAGAAAUGCUCUAGAAGUAAACAGGAAACCUGCUACACAAAUUGUGAAAUAUAAGUAUGUUUUAUAGAAGUCCUGAAAUUGUAUUUUUCAACAAGUUAAAACAGAAAAACCUAACACUACCAUAUCCAUUAAAUAUUAAUUCUCUCUUCCUCAAAUGUUUUACUCAUAUCUAUGCCUGUCCCUUUGGAACAUUUUUCAGUCAAAUUCAUAACACUGUCUUGAUUCCAAGCCUCAGGAGAACAUUUGAAUGAAAUUUUCAAAUGCUUCAAUUUUUAUAUCAUCCAAUGUGGAAUUCACAUUUACUGAGCACCUGCAAUGAGCUAGGAUCUGUACUACAUACUUUUAAAAAUACAUUAUUUUUCCUAAGAAAGUUCUGAGGUAGAUAUAUUAUUUUACAGAUGAGGAAACAGAGGUUCAGAGAGGUUAACUGACUUCACAAAAGUCAUAGAGCUACUAGGUAACAGAGCUCAUUGAACAUGGAGCUAGGAUUCAACCCUGGAUCGCCGUGAAGCCAUUUUGUUUCCAUGACAUCAUGACAUUGGUUAUAACACCACAAUUGUUUAGAAUAUAAGGCUUGUUUAGAAUGCAAGGCUUCCUCAAUUCUCCACCCUUCCCCUCUUGACAUCUUGCUCUUCUUCCCUUCAUCUAUUGUGUUAGUCAGGUGCAUGCUGGUCUUCCCUCUAUCAAACUGUAAGCUACUUGGAGACUUGGGAUGCCUCACUCAUCUCUAUUCCCAAACCUCAGGGUCUAUCAUUCUACCUUCUGUAUAGACAGGACUUUCAUAGUUUUGAACAAGUCAGAACCUGAAAGAAUUUGCUUCCAGAACAGGACAUUGACAGGAAAAUUAAGCAUGAUCAUGCCGAGUAAAAUAGGAAUAAGAAUUGGACCUACCUCAAGAUCUGUUGAGAAGAUUAUGAGAGAGCUGAUGGAUCUAAAAGAUUGGCGCUUGAUAGAAUUGGGAUCAUUUGUUUUGACUAGAACAAUCUCUUGCAGCUUGGAUGGAGAAACUUUACAGAGGUUUCAGCCAAACACUCAUGAAUUCUUUAAUGUGUGAAAUAAAGUAAGUUUUAUAGGCAAAUAACAAUCUGAAUCCCUAACUAGCUAUUUCAUAUAAUAUGCAUAUAACUCUGAAAAUUACAUACAUCAAAUUUCAAUUUGGCUUCAUGCAUGCUUUGUUUUAUAGAUUCAUAAAGGCAGAUUUUCUCUGAUUAUCAGACUUAUUGCAAAAUGGAGUCAACACAGAAACUUCCUGAAGUUGGCAAAGCUUGUUUUCUUUGGCUGACAGGAGUAACUGAUGUAUUAUUAUUUUUUAAGGCUCUGAGAUAAAUCUGAUUCAUGUUUGAAUCAUAAGUUUAUUAUUGAUUUUUAGUGUGGAUUUUGCAUAAGAUACUCAAUUUAGAGAAUACUCAGCUUUCUCAUAUGCAGAAUAGAAAAAAAGUAGUUACCUGAUCAGAUUUUUUGAAAGGUAAAUGCAACAGCAGUUGUAAAUGGCAUAGUCCAUUGUUAGGAAUAGACUAGGUGUUCAAUAAAUGAAUAAAAAAAAACCGUGAAGCUCUCCUGAAGCUUUAUAUUCCCUGUCUAUAAAAUGGAGACAUCACUGAUUUCCUGCUUACAUUACAAGACUGCUGUGAAGAUCAAAUGAAGAAACAGAUAAAAAUGUUUGGUAAACUGAAUUGUACAGUAUAAAUAGAAAGCGGUGACAAAAGUAAUUCAUACCAAUGCAGUUUUUUAAAAAUAUCCCAACCUGCCUACACAACUACUUCCUCUCUCUGAGAUUUAUCUCAAAAGUGGAAUUAGAUUCCUGUCUUAGCUGUAAAAAUAAAGCCACAAAGGGCAUCAUGCAUGAGAGAGUAAAUGUGAAACUCUGUGGGGGAAAAUGGAAACUUCAGAUAUUAUUAGGGCCUAGCUGCCAAUGGUGAUUCUCUCAAGAUUUUAUUGGCAGGUUGAGUGAAAGUGCCAGAGUGUGGAUGCACAAAUUGUAGUUUAAUUGGUGUGAUUUAUAGCUAAUGGUGCAUCAGAAGGAGGAACUAGGAACUGUGCCUUCUAAUUUAAGGCAUAGUACCUAAGACUGCAUCCACUAGGUAAGAAAACCUUCCUUGGCAAACUCAAAUAUUAAAUCUUCGCUGAAUUUGUCUUGUUCUUUUAUAUAAAAAUCAUGGAGCCAGGAGCUAAAAUAAUAUCUAAGUUUCCUCUUUGCCUGACGCCAUCCAUGCAAAAUGUGACUUGCUUCUUCAGCAGCAGCAUGAAAACAAACUAAUACACCACUAUUCCUAGGUAAGUAGAGCCACAAUGGGAAGACCACUAAGGGAAUAUGGAGGCUCACAGAGGCUAGUCAAUUUAUCCAAGGCCACGCAGCAAAGCUGGGACUCAAACUCAAAUCUUCUAGUCCUAGUUUCAUUCAGUUUUUUUUUUUUCCUACAUUGAUUCUAGACUUUGUUCUACAAGUGACUACUUUUCUGUUUUGUUCCUGACAUGAACAUGUCCAUGGCUGUCUCAGACUUGUUUGGUUACCCUAAGUAACCAUUUAGCAGCCAAUUUCUGAUAUGACUAUAGAUACAUCUCUAUAAGUGAAUUCUAUAGGUGAUUUGGCAUGAUCAAAAUGAAAAGGCUUUGUUUGAGUUCCCCAAUAUACUGCUCAAAUGAAAGCUUCUCAAAAUAUCAUUUUGAGAUACGACAGGUCUUUCCUUCAAAUACAACAGAUACUUUUCUUUUGCAGCACUCAGCAUACAUACAACUAUUUAUUUAUCUGUAAGUACUUGCUUAGUAUCUGUGAAGAACAUUGCAGGUACCUGACAUAUGUCUAACUGAUGGAGUGAGGCUGCUAAUGUGGCCAUCUCUCCCUCUUCCUGAUAAGAAAGUGAACCAGCCAUUUCAAAAUGUGGAGAAUUCGAUAAAUAUGUUCUACUCCUCUAUAGCCCUCCCACUAAAAUAAUUUUCAAUUUUCAAUUGAGGUGAAAGGAAGAAUCGGCAAAGAGACGGAUUGAGAGAAUUGUUUAUACUCAUAACUUCGUUCUCAACAUAAUUAUCUAUUUCUGAAUCCUAAAAAUCACCUAGCUAGAUUCUCCCUCAAUCUGAAGAUUACCUUUUACUCCUUGAGAUGCUAAAUGUGUUCCUAUUUAUCAUAUUAAUAUUGCGAGUAUUUUGUGUUAUGCAGCCAGAAAAAUCACAUAAUGGGAACUUACCCACAGCCCCCAAACUCAUAAACAGGAGCUGAAUAGAAAUUCCUCAGUGCAAUUUAUGGUAACAAUUUCAUGCUCAGUUUAGUUACUUCCAUGACUCAGAAAAGAAAUUUCUUUUGCUUAUUUCAGUAAUUUUUUUCUAAAAAAUUGUUCCCCUAAUUUUUGGCAAAGGAUCUAUGAGAAAGUGAAGAACUCCCUGGUUGUACAUGGAUUUGGAAUUGUCACUUAAGUGAGGCCAAAAUGUAACCCUAUGCCAUUCAUUGCAUAGUACCAUUUGUUAUAAAUUUGACCUCUAAAACAAAGAUAUUACAAAGCCAUUGAGUGUUUUUUUAAGGGAUAUAUUAUAUUUGUCACUUAGUCCCCAGUAUUAUGAUGGAAAACCUGGAUAGUGGAUAGAAAACCUGGAGGUCAUUUAGGCAUCUCUUUCACUGGUUGGGUGAGAAAUGGUGAAGAAGAUGGGAAUGGAGAAGGGACAUACAUUUGGUAAGUGUAAAUAAGAGUCUUUGCUGAUUAAUUCAGUGUGGCCCAUGAGAAAGAGUGGAAGUGUCCAAGGUUCCCUCAGGUUUACAGCUUGGGCAACUGACUGAGAACAGAAAGGAGCUGCCAUUGAGAGGAAGAAAAGAAAAUGACACUGAGUCCAUGUUGGGACACAUUGGGUUUAAAGGGAUAUCAUUAUGACCUAAGCUCUCUGAAUUCCAGUGACUGGGAAUAUGGGAAGAUACAUCUUUAACAGUUGAAGCAAUUUAUACACUUUAACAAUUGAAGCAAUUUAUACACCAGAGCCUAAGGAAUAUUUAUAGAUGAGGGCUGUGCUGCAAUGACAGAUAGGGUUGUAUGAAACAUACACUAAUCUGACCAUUCUAUCCUCCAGACUCAGGGAAGGAAAUAAUAAAAGUAAGUAACCAUAAAAAAUAGACUUUUAUGCAUAAAUAAAUAAAAAUCAGCUAGGAGACAGUUCAUCCCUGUAUAAGUAAAACAGGCAAAUUUAUCUUUCCUCUGAUUAAUAAUUUAAGAAAAAAUCCCAAGCAAGCUGCCUAUGGAGGUGUAGGAGUAGCUCCUAUAAUUAGACUCCAAUUUGAACCAUGAGGGUGAGGAUCAGAAAGCUGACUCAGAGCCUGGUGUCAAUUAUUUGCAGUUUGUACAACGAAAGGCUAAAAAUUUGGGAGAUGCAGGAUGACUGAAGCCCGAUUCUGGGGGUUGUUACAGCACAGUUACAGGGCCUUCCUCACACCCAUGUCUUCAGAUACCCAAGGCCUUUAAUACCCAAGUCCUUCCAGGAUUCUGCACAUCUCAUUAGCUUCAUAUUCCCGUAAGUACUUGGGUUUCUGCUUUCUCAGCUCUGAUGUGUCAUUUUCUAAUCAAUCAUCAGCAUUCCAGCUUCCAAAGUUUUGUUCAUAUAUCUUACAUGUGUUGUCUUGACCGACUUCUUUUUGGACCUUAGAUUAUUUACCUAUUUAAAUUCCUUAAUUGUUACUUUAGUGGAGUUUUGGAAGGGAACAAAAAUAUAGGCAGGUGUUUAUCACAUUUAACAAGGAACUCAAAAUUUAUAUUUAAUUCUAUUUAAUCUGGCUGCCUUCUUGCCAUCAGUCUAUUUGAAAAGUUCAUAUGGACCCAGCUCUGUCAUCAUCACAUGUUCUAUAUCCCCAAACCUUGUGACAUCUGCAAAGAAGUACAGAAGACCUCAAGAGAAGAUAAGCUAGAAUUUAUUUAUUUUUAUACCUUUUAUUCAGUUUUUAUUAAAGCUUUCCUACCUUUCCAGAUUGACACAGAAUUAUUCCAUGAAUCUGUCUAUUAAUCCAUUUACAGCAAGUGCUGGGGAUAGAAAUUAAGGUUUAAACAUAUAAUUCCUGCCAUCAAAGGACUCCCUGUUGAUUAGGGGACACAGGCAAGAAAAUAGACAGUAAGUUUGUUAAGGCAUGAACAAAGAACUGUGUUGGUACACACAGUACAGAGAGGAAGUACAAAGAGGAUGGUGCUUAAGAAGAGUUAACACCUAGACCUAAUCUUAGAGGAUGAGGAAGCAUUGGGUAGACUAGAAGACUAGGUGUAGGGGUAAAGGAAGGCAUAUCAGAGAAAAGGGAGCAGCUACAUAGAGGCAAGGACUAUGCCUCUUCUGCCUCUGAAGAGGAGAAAUUUCUUUCAAUCAAUAGAAAGUGCAGGACAAAGGGUACUAAGUCAUCUUUUGAUGGGAUAACUUGAUGUUAGUGUCCUUCCAUGAGAAAAUGGGAAGCAGCCCCUUAUAAUAAAACCUCUGGCUUUUGAAUUACCAAGUAAAACUGAGGUGUCAGCAACCCUUGGCUGAAUGUGGAACUUGCUAAUAGAACCCCUACAUUCAUGGGAAGGGAUAAAAGAGCUUUAAAAAGUACAAAAGCAUUGUGUGAAUAUAUGGGAUUAAUAUUACUACUACAAUAUUGCCUACCACCACCAUCCCCAGCCCUGAGGAGUCUUCUUAAACUUACAAAAUGAAGCUGCUUCUCUAUGGAUGUAGACAUUUCCUGGUUUCAACAUUGCACCAUAGCUAUGCAUUAUGUCAACAUUGGGAAAAGGCAGGGUGGAAGGUGCACAGGAGCUCUCUGUACAUUUCUUUGAAACUUCCUUUAUACCUUUUAAAAGUUAAAAAGCAGCAGCAGUGGCAGCUUCUCAAGGCCAAAGAUGGGGAGCUCUAUUUCAUUUGCAUUUCUACUCAGGGCUAUAAUGAAUUGAACUCAAUGUGUUGCUAAAGAUUAUUAUGAAAUUAAAAUCCAAUUAGGAUGGUCUCGUGGGUCUGGUAAAAGCUUGGAUUAGAGACCAGGCACAACACGGGGUUGGGGGAGAUGGACUGCUCAAUAGAAGUAGGGCUGAGUGGGGAGUUUAAAGCACUGGCCUCUAAGUAUAGGAACCACUGUACAAAUUUUAAAAUAUACUCAGGAUAGUUAAUAUUUGAUCAAAAUCCACUGUGAAGUGAGGAAUUUUUCCUGCUGGGCAUUCUAUUUUCCAGUUCUAUGAUCAAGCCCAGUGACUGGUAAAUACAAUAUGCCCCACUAGCCCCCAGCUUCUCCCAGCUCCUGUUCCCUCCUGGUGCUCAAAGGGAGAAAGGCUAAGAAAUUCCAAGCCCUGGUCAGGAAAGUGAUCUUGAAAUCACACACAAUGAAUAGUGCCAUCACUAAUGACUCAGCUUGUAAAGAACCAGUGAAGUGAGGAAAUUCUUUCUAUGCACAGAAUGUCUAGAUAUUUAGGCAAAAUUGAAGGGGAUGAGGCAGGAAUAACCAGGACAAACUCAGUAAGAACUUCAACCCUGGUUUUCUCAAGAUUCAGUUUAUGUGCUGAUCAUUUUCUCUCAUAUCUAAUUCCCUUACUUCCCCUGCUCUGUUUUACAUCGAAAGUGCUGACUUCAUGCAAAUUACAUGCAAUUUGCAUGUAAUUUGGAAUUUGCUCCCUGGGAAAAUCACUUCUGACUAGGUUCAGCCAAUGGGAGGCACUAACAGGAGAUUGGAGGGUAGGAGGAAGGGAGGCAUAAGGGAAUUUCUUUCCCCUCUCUGUUUCAGGUGGCAUUUCAAGAAUGUCUGUUUUUCCUCCAUGAUUUCUAUAGAUAUUCCUUAAUUUUCAAGUCUCCAUUAGCAUAGGUAUGAAGGUUUCUCAAUGUGCUCUUGCUUUGGCUUCCUUUAGUCAGAAUAGAAAGAGAAAGUUUUUUAACUUUAUUCAAACAUAUUAGGGGUUUGCUAGAGAAUACAUUAUUUGCCCCUAGUUAUCCUGAUGUUAUAAAAGGAGGCAGACCUGGACAAGUGUAAAUUAGCACAGACAUUCUAACAAUCACCAGAAAAAUGCACCCAUAAGUAGUGCCAAUGCAAGAAGUUUUGACUGUAAUGCCCGUGUGCAGUAGGCUGAAUGAUGGCCCCCAAGUAUAUCUAUAUCCUAAUCCCGAGAACUUGUGAAUGUUACUUGCUAUGCUGAAAGGGACUUUGAAGGUGUGAUUAAGGGUUUUGAGAUGGGGAGAUUUUCCUGGAUUAUAUGAAUGUGUCCUAAAUAUAAUCACACAGGUCCAUGUAAGAGGUAGGCAAGGUCAAAGGAGGAAAUAGAAGGUAAGAUAAUGAAAACAAGAGGUUGGAGGGCUGUGAGGAAGGGGGUCACAAGCCAAGAAGCAUAGGUGGCCUAGAGAAGCUAGAAAACACAAAGAAAUGGAUUUCUUAUAGAGUCUUCACGGGGGACUAGCCUUGCUCACACCUUGACUUUAGCCUAGUGAAACUGAUUUCAGACUUCUGGCCUCCAAAACUGUAAGAGAAUAGAACUGUGCUG